GUGCCAGCAGCCGCGGUAAUACGGAGGGUGCAAGCGUUAUCCGGAUUCACUGGGUUUAAAGGGUGCGUAGGUGGGUUGGUAAGUCCGUGGUGAAAUCUCCGAGCUUAACUCGGAAACUGCCGUGGAUACUAUCAAUCUUGAAUACUGUGGAGGUAAGCGGAAUAUGUCAUGUAGCGGUGAAAUGCUUAGAUAUGACAUAGAACACCGAUAGCGAAGGCAGCUUGCUACACAGUCAUUGACACUGAGGCACGAAAGCGUGGGGAGCAAACAGGAUUAGAAACCCUUGUAGUCC
rnacentral:rRNA from 1 species